GACGAACGCUGGCGGCGUGCUUAACACAUGCAAGUCGAACGGAAAGGCCUCUUUCGGGGGGUACUCGAGUGGCGAACGGGUGAGUAACACGUGAGUAACCUGCCCUUGACUUUGGGAUAACUUCAGGAAACUGGGGCUAAUACCGGAUAGGAGCUCCUGCUGCAUGGUGGGGGUUGGAAAGUUUCGGCGGUUGGGGAUGGACUCGCGGCUUAUCAGCUUGUUGGUGGGGUAGUGGCUUACCAAGGCUUUGACGGGUAACCGGCCUGAGAGGGUGACCGGCCACAUUGGGACUGAGAUACGGCCCAGACUCCUACGGGAGGCAGCAGUGGGGAAUAUUGCACAAUGGGUGGAAGCCUGAUGCAGCAACGCCGGGUGCGGGAUGACGGCCUUCGGGUUGUAAACCGCUUUCGCUCAUGACGAAGCUUUGUGUGACGGUAGUGGGUAAAGAAGCACCGGCUAACUACGUG
rnacentral:rRNA from 1 species